GACGAACGCUGGCGGCGUGCCUAACACAUGCAAGUCGAACGGGGUCGUUCUUGGUGGCAACACCUUGGACGGCCUAGUGGCGAACGGGUGAGUAACACGUGAGGAACCUGCCCCGAAGACCGGGAUAACAGAAGGAAACUUCUGCUAAUACCGGAUACCCCCACCGAAUCGCAUGGUUUGGUGAGGAAAUGGAUUCCGCUUCGGGAGGGCCUCGCGGCCUAUCAGCUAGUUGGUGGGGUAACGGCCUACCAAGGCAUCGACGGGUAGCUGGUCUGAGAGGACGAUCAGCCACACUGGGACUGAGACACGGCCCAGACUCCUACGGGAGGCAGCAGUGGGGAAUCUUGCGCAAUGGGCGAAAGCCUGACGCAGCAACGCCGCGUGCGGGAUGAAGGCCCUCGGGUUGUAAACCGCUUUCAGCAGGGACGAAGAUGACGGUACCUGCAGAAGAAGCCCCGGCAACUACGUG
rnacentral:rRNA from 1 species